rnacentral:rRNA from 1 species
AUUGAACGCUGGCGGCAGGCUUAACACAUGCAAGUCGAGCGGGGUGAUGGUGCUUGCACUAUCACUUAGCGGCGGACGGGUGAGUAAUGCUUAGGAAUCUGCCUAUUAGUGGGGGACAACAUCUCGAAAGGGAUGCUAAUACCGCAUACGUCCUACGGGAGAAAGCAGGGGAUCACUUGUGACCUUGCGCUACUAGAUGAGCCUAAGUCGGAUUAGCUAGUUGGUGGGGUAAAGGCCUACCAAGGCGGCGAUAUGUAGCGGGUCUGAGAGGAUGAUCCGCCCCACUGGGACUGAGACACGGCCCAGACUCCUGCGGGAGGCAGCAGUGGGGAAUAUUGGACAAUGGGGGGAACCCUGAUCCAGCCAUGCCGCGUGUGUGAAGAAGGCCUUAUGGUUGUAAAGCACUUUAAGCGAGGAGGAGGCUCUUUUGGUUAAUACCCAAGAUGAGUGGACGUUACUCGCAGAAUAAGCACCGGCUAACUCUGUGCCAGCCGCCGCCGUAA